ensembl:lncRNA
CCCAGGUGGUGGAUGGUUCUAGAAGAGAGGAUAGGAUGAGGGUGGGUGCAGGAUGUAGGCUUUGGCCAGAAAGGGAAGAACCUGUGUUCAGGCAUCCUUGAGCACUGGGCCUGGACACUCCCAGCCAGGCUGUCCUGGGACUGUGUCAGAAGAAGCCUGUGCCUGGAGGGAAGCCAAUGAAAGGGUUGACACCAGGGACCCACCAUCCACCAACAGACUGAGGUGCUUAUGAGCUGGUCUCUACAUCGCCCAGUUUACAGACAGAGCAUUCCAGUCACCGAAGGAGCCCUCAUUUGCUCUGCGUUGUUUCCUGACAAAUGAAAUGAAACCUUAACGAUGAGAACACAUUCAGAUGAAAAAUACAACAUUUAUGUUUGUGGAGAGAUGGACUUGAGUCAGCAAGACAUCCCUCAGAUGGUUGCUGGCCAGGAUGGCAAACUUAUCUUGAGUAUCUCUGUGACAAUAUUUAACCUCCAGCUUGACCUUCUAGAAGGUGUCUGGAACCAAGCCUGCAGGAUCUCUGAGCUACCAUGUUGUGAGCUGCUCUACAGGAAAGAACGAAGAACCAUCUCAGGUCAACAGUCACUGAGGAACUAAAGCUUUCAGUUUGACCUCCCAUGAGAAACCAAAUCCUGCCUACACCCACGAGUGAGCUUUGGAAGCAGACCCACCCCCAGUUGAUCUGAAGAUGACUGCCAUCCUGCCCAGCUCCUAGACUGCAGCCUUGUGAGACAUCCUGAACCAGAAGACUCAGCUAACCAUGCCCAGAUUCCAGACCCACAGAAACAUGAGAAAAGAGAUGUCUGUUGUUUUCAUAUGUAUUUGAUUCUCAGUAAAAGAUAAAAAAUGCAGUUAUCUACCAUCUGGCUGUGUAUCUAUUAUCUAUCAACUCUCCAUUGAUUGAUAACUAUCUCUCAGUAUAAUUCAUUUCCUUUAAGGAGGGGUCAUAGACUUCACCAAUCUGCCAAGUGGUUCAUGCCACCCAGAUGUUAAGAUCACC